GACGAACGCUGGCGGCGUGCUUAACACAUGCAAGUCGAACGGAAAGGCCCUGCUUUUGUGGGGUGCUCGAGUGGCGAACGGGUGAGUAACACGUGAGUAACCUGCCCUUGACUUUGGGAUAACUUCAGGAAACUGGGGCUAAUACCGGAUAGGAGCUCCUGCUGCAUGGUGGGGGUUGGAAAGUUUCGGCGGUUGGGGAUGGGCUCGCGGCUUAUCAGCUUGUUGGUGGGGUAGUGGCUUACCAAGGCUUUGACGGGUAGCCGGCCCGGGCGGGGGACCGGCGGCAUUGGGAGUGAGGUACGGCCCAGAGGGGGACGGGAGGCAGCGGGGGGGAAUAUUGCAGAAUGGGCGGAAGCCUGAUGCAGCAACGCCGCGUGCGGGAUGACGGCCUGCGGGUUGUAAACCGCUUUCGCCUGUGACGAAGCGUGAGUGACGGUAAUGGGUAAAGAAGCACCGGCUAACUACGUG
rnacentral:rRNA from 1 species